rfam:Rhizobium sp. Leaf371 contig_1, whole genome shotgun sequence.
CCAGUCGGCCGGGCAGCCGCUCUCCGCUAUGACCGAAAGGUUGCGGGGGGAGGAAAGUCCGGGCUCCACGGAAAAACGGUGCCGGAUAACGUCCGGCGAGGGCGACCUCAGGGAAAGUGCCACAGAAAGCAAACCGCCCGCGUUUACGCGGGUAAGGGUGAAAGGGUGGGGUAAGAGCCCACCGCGCGUCUGGUAACAGGGGCGGCACGGUAAACCCCACCGGGAGCAAGACCGAAUAGGGAUGACGUGGCAGCCGCAAGGCUGCCGGCCUGUUCCGGGCCAGUCAUCCGGGUGGGUUGCAUGAGGCGGCGCGCGAGCGUCGUCCCAGAUGAAUGGCUGCCACGUUCCGGUCCUCAACCGGCCGGAGCCAUACAGAACCCGGCUUACAGGCCGACUGGCGUU